UGGGGUUCUGGGUUGCUGUGAUGAGGUCAGAUGAGAUGGUAGGGUCAGAUGGGGUGACAUGGAGUUCUGUGGUCACAUGUGUUUCUAUGGUCGAGUUGAGGUGGGGGCAGGGAUCCCAGAGUUCUGGGGCCACAUGGCAUCGGGUCGCAGCGUGAUGGGGGCAGGUAGGGUCAGGGAGUCACAGGGUCAUGUGGGGGUGUGGUUCACCCAGGGUUGUGGGUCACAUACAGCCAUGGGGUCACACACAUGAUGAGGUCAUCUUGGCUUAUGGCUCGUGUGGGGUUACGGCUUAGGGUCCCACCUUUGGGCUGCACGGACCCCCAGUCCCCUCUCAGGAAGAAAUGAAACCCCUCCUACACCGCUGUCCCCUUCCCCCCUUUUUUUUUUACCUCAAACUGCUCCCCACCUCCUCCCAUAGCACCCCAUACCCCCGCGUCCCUCUUGCAGCGCACAUCUUGUCUUCUCCUGAACAGCAUUCUGCUCCUGCAGGCUGUGUUGUCAUAUCCAUUCUAUAUCCCCCACACCCCCUCCCACAGAGCUACAUAGCUCCUCAAGUACUUUCUCUGACCGGGUACACCUCCCCCACCGCCAACCUGGGACCUCGCAGAGCCCCACAGUCCCCAGCAGCACCCCACGUCCCCCACGGUUCUUCAAGGAUCCCUCCGAUUUGAGGGAGGCUCAGACCUCCCUUUAUGCCUCAGACCCCUCCUGUGUUCUCCGACUCCCACAGUCCCUGACAGGACCCCCAUCACCAUCCCAGGACCCCCGUAGCCCACUGAUGAGGAACCCCGCAGCAAUCCACAUCUCAGGAUGGGGCUCCAGCUGUGCCCCAAUGCCUGCAUUAAAGAGAGGAGAAUGAAUGAGUGUAACGGGGCACCUUUCCUCCUGACAUUACCAACUGCCUGCGUGUUGGCUGUGCCACAUGAGCGGCAUUUUGUCCUCGAGCUGUGAGUGCAGGUGACCAAGAUGCUGGCUGUCGUGGUGGUCCUCUUUGCCCUUCUGUGGCUGCCAUACCGCACACUGGUGGUGGUGAAGUCCUUUGAGGACCCCCCCGUACCUCAACAUUUGGUUCCUCCUCUUCUGCCGGAUGUGCAUCUACCUGAACAGUGCCAUCA
ensembl:lncRNA